GAGGGUAUAGCUCAGUGGUAGAGUACAUGCUUAGCACGCAUGAGGUCAUGGGCUCAAUUCCCAGUACCUCUG
rnacentral:tRNA from 1 species